GUAAAUGGGAUUAUGAAGUGUGGCUCUGGUAAAAAGGCUUAGUCAGAACAGAGGAAAAAUAACUCAGGCUGAUCUGAAUGGUGUGGCAAGCUGAUCAACACAAGUUAAUCCUACAUCUGUUGGCUCUAGUUUUUGGUGGGGUUGAUAGGAAGGCUUAGGUGAAAAAAAAAGAUUUUGAAAAAAAACAACAUGAAAAUGCAGUGCAACAUGAGGUGGAAGAACAAAAUGACAUGACAUGAAAUGGAGGUGGUCUAGACCAAAACAAAAGUUAGCCUAAAUUAACUAGCCACAAGUUUAAUUUAGAAUCAAAGGGUGGUGCCAUACUUCAUAUUUCUCUCUAAAAAGACACAAAGAAAAAAAUUCUAAACACCAACAUCACACAAAAAGGGUCUAUAAGUUUUCCAAAAUAAAAAAAAAUAAAGUGCUCCCUCAAUAUUAUUUAAAGCAUACAAUAUGUGGUUGCAGUAUUUAUUAGAGCAAAGUUACAAUGUUACUUGAUGUUUUCGAUUAAAGAGUACAAUAUAGACUGCCAUAGAAAAUAAAAAGAUGGGUUGCCUCCCACAAAGCGCUUUAGCUAUAGUCAUAUAGCUAGACUCCUCGAUCAUGUUC
rnacentral:lncRNA from 1 species